UAAGUAUACAGGCCUUUCCAAGGGUC
rnacentral:piRNA from 1 species